GAGAAAGAAAGAAUAAUAGUAAGUACUGCUAAUCCUUACAAACCAUGGUUAAACUCCGUGGCUUCCUCG
rnacentral:tRNA from 1 species